CCGCAGGGAGUGGAGCAGAAUCGCGGCCGUUACUGCGGUGCGCCAGGGAGUGAAGGUCUGCCGGCUAAAGUUUGGCUGGAGUGUCUGGCGGAGAGAGGUAGUUAGCCAUCCGUCCGAGAGGAGCUCGGAGUCUGGCUCCCAUAGGGAUCCGGGCAGAGUCUUCCUGCGAUUAAAGUCAAGGGCGAAGUCCGGCUCCCGUAGGAGUCCGGACGAAGCUUACCAGUGAUUGAAGUUGGGGAUGGAGCCCGGCUCCCGUAGGAGUCCGGGCGGAGUCCACUUGCAGUUGGAGUUGUGGG
rnacentral:lncRNA from 1 species